GACGAACGCUGGCGGCGUGCUUAACACAUGCAAGUCGAACGAAGUGGCGAACGGGUGAGUAAUAUGUGCGUAACCUGCCCUACUUUUUGGGAUAAGACUUGGAAACGGGGUCUACUACCGAAUACAGGGGGUCGGGCUCGCGGCCUAGCUGCGUGUUGGUGGGGUGAUGGCAUACGAAGGCGGUGACGGGUAGCCGGCCUGAGAGGGUGACCGGGCACGGUGGGACUGACAUACGGGCCUGACUCCGAGUCGAGUCGGCAUGGGGGGAUAUUGGACAAGAGUCGAGAGCCAGAGGCUGCGACGCCGCGUGGGGGAUGAAGGUGUUCGGGUUGUAAACCUCUUUCGCGAACGGACGGGUAGGUGCAGAAGAAGCGCCGGCUAACUACGUGCCAGCCGCCGCGGUAAUUC
rnacentral:rRNA from 1 species